rnacentral:rRNA from 1 species
CCUACGGGAGGCAGCAGUGAGGAAUAUUGGUCAAUGGGCGCGAGCCUGAACCAGCCAAGUAGCGUGAAGGAUGACUGCCCUACGGGUUGUCAACUUCUUGUAUAAAGGAAUAAAGUGAGGCACGUGUGCCUUUUCGUAUGUACUUGAUGAAUAAGGAUCGGAUACCUCCGUGAAAGCAGCAGCGGUAAUACGGAGGAUCCGAGCGUUAUCCGGAUUUAUUGGGUUUAAAGGGAGCGUAGGUGGGUUGGUAAGUAAGUUGUGAAAGUUUGCGGCUCAACCGUCAAAUUGCAAUUGAUACUGGCAGUCUUGAGUACAGUUGAGGUAGGCGGAAUUCGUAGUGUAGCGGUGAAAUGCUUAGAUAGCACG